rnacentral:rRNA from 1 species
UACGGAGGGGACUAGCGUUGUUCGGAAUUACUGGGCGUAAAGCGCACGUAGGCGGAUUUGUAAGUCAGGGGUGAAAUCCCGGGGCUCAACCUCGGAACUGCCUUUGAUACUGCAAAUCUCGAGUCCGGAAGAGGUGAGUGGAAUUCCUAGUGUAGAGGUGAAAUUCGUAGAUAUUAGGAAGAACACCGGUGGCGAAGGCGGUUCUCUGGGCAUGUCCUGACGCUGAGGAGCGAAGGCCAGGGGAGCAAACGGG